UCGUCUGCUCUGUUCGUUUCCUUUAUCACUGUUGUGAUUGGCUGUUGAAGUUUUCAAACGUAUUUCCUGAUUGGUGCACUUAUCACACACCCGCUGGAGGCUCUGACUGCUAUUUCCGAAAUUUAGCACAAAGACAGACGAUUCCCCCCCUGUCGUGAACGAACCAGGGUUCUAUCAUGGUGUAAAAGGGAGGUGUACCAACUCUUCAGUUAAGAAGGGUAUCUCUUGUGAAGCCUCUUUGUGGUACCAGUAGGCAUUGCUAGGUUAUCUAUAGUAAACGCCAUCUCUUGAGCUUGUGAGCAAAUGUUACCUUCGGAUCAGUCGUCAACGGUUUUCCAUUAGUCGUACUGAAAGUUUGAACACAUUAAUGGCGUCGUUUGGUUGACGCCUUGAUAGCGUCUUUCCAAAAAUGGUGAAUAAAUUGUGCUUCGUCGAUGGUUGUUAGUUAUAGUUAGUUAGUUAGUUAGUUAGUUAUAGUUGUGCAAAAGAAACCGACAACCAUUUUCUUCACCCACUCAAUGGCAAUAUCAAGAUUUACGCAUUCAUUGAUGUCCCACACCUUAUAAAAUGCACUAGAAAUCAUUUUCUCCAUCACAAAAUUGCUCAGUUUGCCGGGCACACUGUCUACCACAUGUUCUAUCAGAGAGUAUUUGAGCAUCAAAGGUUGCUUGGUUUGAAAUUGGUUCCCAAGUUAAAACUUGCUCACAUUUGGCCAUCAACCUGGCAGAGAAUGACGGUAAGCUUGGCCACACAGCUGUACUCCAAACAUAUGGCCAUGGCUUUAAAAUUUUUAAGAGAAGACAAAAAAACAGCGCAUUUAUUCAAUGGUACCUCAUUAAAUCUUCCAAAUUUCUAAAUCUAACUCAUUAUUUUAUUAGGAUCGGAAGCUACAGAAAAGCU